rnacentral:lncRNA from 11 species
CACCAAAAUGUGUGUUGGCCAGCAUUAUCUUUCUUAAUAUAGGUUUUCAGGUUGUGAAUUGCACUCUGGAGGAAAAUCUGAAUUUUAGUAAAGCAGUCUAAAUUUAGCAUAUUACUUCCAGGUCUUGUGCUGACGCAGUAAUCAAAUUUUCCUGAAAGAUGGUUGGGUGGAACUAAAAUAUUCAAAGAGGGAUGGAACUAAUAUGAAAUGUUUAUAAAUAGCAAGUGUAUGUACAAUGGUUAUUUGGCCGUAUAUAGAAAAAAAAAUCUUUGUCCAUUCACUGAAACCAGACAAGAACCAAUUUAUCUUCUCUACAAAACUGGAAUAAGGAAGUACCAGUUGAACAUAUUUAAAGGAGUCUUUUCCUACUUGUAAUGAUGAAGAUUUUCUGUCUGCUACUCCUUAUGUUUGCUGCAGUUCUUUUUUCUAAUGCAGGUAUGUUGUUCAUAUCAAAUACAUUUCCAGAUUUCAGGUGAAUAGGAAAAAU